rnacentral:lncRNA from 1 species
CCUCUCUGUACAACAAAAAAUAGAGUUCGUUAAAUUUUGCAACAAACUCACUUUGUUCAGGAAUAAGGAUGCUGAAUAUAAGCAUUAAUUCAAACAUGUUUAGAAGUUUGUUUACAAGGGCUCCAAGUGCAUGCCUUGCUUCUUCCAAGAAGCUGGCUUACUUCCACAAUAUCACUAUUGAUACUGCCAAAAUAAGCCACAAAGAAGUCCUUUUUUCGGGUUUUGACUUUUGGCUUCUUUUGUCUUCUAAGAUCACCUAAGAUGUGUUGCAACAAACAUGUUUUCGCCAUUUUAGAACAAUUUCAUGAACAUAUGAAAACUUCCCAUCUUUCUACAGACAAAGUACAAAAGACGUACAAGAAAUUACAUCUCUUUAUUUAAUUUUAAAACCACUCUACCAGGACAAAAUAUUAAAGUUCCCAUUCGUUUGCUUGGAUCUUCUUGAAAACUCAUUAAAUUAAACCUUUCAAAAUUAAAACGCAACAAUAACUCGCUUAAAAAAGGUCUUAAGGGGAGGGUGUCCAAUUGUUUAUAAACCCAAAAGGCAGGCCUUUCAAGAACAAUGUAGGAUUAAGUUAGAUCGUCAUAUAAAAAUUCCAAAUCUUCAUCAAAGCAAUUAAAAAAUAGAAGAUACUACACAAAGAAAGCAGCAAAAAGGCACCAGUGCAGGAGGUUUGAUGGUGAGGAGGCAAGAGAUUUUCUUUUAAAAUGUAAUAACCUUAAGAACUCCACCAAUAAGGUUAGAGAAAGAAUCCUUAAUAUUAUGUUCAGGUUAGAGGAUAUCAUAAUUUCA